AGUGAACGCUGGCGGUAGGCCUAACACAUGCAAGUCGAACGGCAGCACAGUAAGAGCUUGCUCUUACGGGUGGCGAGUGGCGGACGGGUGAGGAAUACAUCGGAAUCUACUUUUUCGUGGGGGUUAACGUAGGGAAACUUACGCUAAUACCGCAUACGACCUACGGUUGAAAGCAUGGGAUCUUCGGACCUUGCGCGAUUGAAUGAGCCGAUGUCGGAUUAGCUAGUUGGCGGGGUAAAUGCCCACCAAGGCGACGAUCCGUAGCUGGUCUGAGAGGAUGAUCAGACACACUGGAACUGAGACACGGACCAGACUCCUACGGGAGGCAGCAGUGGGGAAUAUUGGACAAUGGGCGCAAGCCUGAUCCAGCCAGAGCGCGUGGGUGAAGAAGGCCUUGGGGUUGUAAAGCCCUUUUGUUGGGAAAGAAAAGCAGCAGGUUAAUACCCCGCUGUUCUGACGGUACCCAAAGAAUAAGCACCGGCUAACUUCGUG
rnacentral:rRNA from 1 species